rnacentral:tRNA from 2 species
GCCCCCGUAGUCUAGCCCGGUUAAGGAUGACGGCCUCUCGAGCCGUAGACCCGGGUUCAAAUCCCGGCGGGGGCA